rnacentral:rRNA from 1 species
CAGGGGGGGGGUGCUUACCCAUGCAAGUCGAAACGAUGAAGCCCAGCUUGCUGGGUGGAUUAGUGGCGAACGGGUGAGUAACACGUGAGUAACCUGCCCUUAACUCUGGGAUAAGCCUGGGAAACUGGGUCUAAUACCGGAUAGGAGCGCCUACCGCAUGGUGGGUGUUGGAAAGAUUUAUCGGUUUUGGAUGGACUCGCGGCCUAUCAGCUUGUUGGUGAGGUAAUGGCUCACCAAGGCGACGACGGGUAGCCGGCCUGAGAGGGUGACCGGCCACACUGGGACUGAGACACGGCCCAGACUCCUACGGGAGGCAGCAGUGGGGAAUAUUGCACAAUGGGCGCAAGCCUGAUGCAGCGACGCCGCGUGAGGGAUGACGGCCUUCGGGUUGUAAACCUCUUUCAGUAGGGAAGAAGCGAAAGUGACGGUACCUGCAGAAGAAGCACCGGCUAACUACGUGCCAGCAGCCGCGGUAAUACGUAGGGUGCGAGCGUUAUCCGGAAUUAUUGGGCGUAAAGAGCUCGUAGGCGGUUUGUCGCGUCUGUCGUGAAAGUCCGGGGCUUAACCCCGGAUCUGCGGUGGGUACGGGCAGACUAGAGUGCAGUAGGGGAGACUGGAAUUCCUGGUGUAGCGGUGGAAUGCGCAGAUAUCAGGAGGAACACCGAUGGCGAAGGCAGGUCUCUGGGCUGUAACUGACGCUGAGGAGCGAAAGCAUGGGGAGCGAACAGGAUUAGAUACCCUGGUAGUCCAUGCCGUAAACGUUGGGCACUAGGUGUGGGGACCAUUCCACGGUUUCCGCGCCGCAGCUAACGCAUUAAGUGCCCCGCCUGGGGAGUACGGCCGCAAGGCUAAAACUCAAAGGAAUUGACGGGGGCCCGCACAAGCGGCGGAGCAUGCGGAUUAAUUCGAUGCAACGCGAAGAACCUUACCAAGGCUUGACAUGUUCUCGAUCGCCGUAGAGAUACGGUUUCCCCUUUGGGGCGGGUUCACAGGUGGUGC